rnacentral:rRNA from 1 species
GGGAGUGAAUAUUGCACAAUGGGCGCAAGCCUGAUGCAGCCAUGCCGCGUGUGUGAAGAAGGCCUUCGGGUUGUAAAGCACUUUCAGUCGUGAGGAAGGUAGUGUAGUUAAUAGCUGCAUUAUUUGACGUUAGCGACAGAAGAAGCACCGGCUAACUCCGUGCCAGCAGCCGCGGUAAAUAAAAAAA